CCACAUGUUUCCUCGUGCCAAUUGCCAUCAUCACUCACCCUCUGCCUCCGUCCUUUUUCUUCCUGUCUACUGCGUAGAUCCAUGGAGUGAUUCAUACGAAGCACAGGCAUGGCGCACAAGUGUAAUUUUAUGACACAACUAGUUCUCUUUCUAUGUUUCACGUAUGUCUUCUCGUCAAUUGCUAUUGCUCCUACGACAAGAAUCGAUCAUAUAGGAAGCCAGAAGAUAAAUAAGGAAGACCUACUGAGUCAGAAUUUGCUGGAUGAAGGUGUCCUGGAUUUGGGAGAAGGAUUUGUGGAGGGGCGGAUGGAGCUGGAAACCAAUGAUUAUUCAGGGGUAGGAGCAAAUCCGGAUCAUGAUCCAAAACCCCCAUGAAGAACUUGAGCCUUAUGGUGGAUUUUGGUUUCGAACUUUAGAGCUGGUUGGAGUUUUCUUAGUUUUCUGCGGAUGUAUCAUGUAUGUCUUCCGUGUCCAUAUGUGUAAUAAUUUCAUGUAUAAUUAUUUUUUUGGGUGAUAAAAACAACGUACUUGUUGAAUAAAAUCUUUCUGGAUUUUGGUUGUUGUAAUCUAGUAUGUUUUAAAUUUUCA